UACGUAGGGCGCAAGCGUUUAUCCGGAAUUAUUGGGCGUAAAGAGCUCGUAGGCGGUUUGUCGCGUCUGCCGUGAAAGUCCGGGGCUCAACCCCGGACUUGCAGUGGGUACGGGCAGACUAGAGUGUGGUAGGGGAGACUGGAAUUCCUGGUGUAGCGGUGAAAUGCGCAGAUAUCAGGAGGAACACCGAUGGCGAAGGCAGGUCCCUGGGCCACUACUGACGCUGAGAAGCGAAAGCAUGGGGAGCGA
rnacentral:rRNA from 1 species